GACGAACGCUGGCGGCGUGCCUAAUACAUGCAAGUCGAACGCAGUGGGGACGGGUGAGUAACACGUGGGUAACCUCCCAUCAGAGGGGAUAACACUUGGAAACAGGUGCUAAACCGAUACUGAUGGAUGAACCCGCGGUGCGUUACAUCGUGGGUGAGGUAACGGCUCACCAAGGCCACGAUGCAUAGCCGAGCGGAGAGGGUGUUCGACCACACUGGGACUGAGACACGGCCCAGACUCCUACGGGAGGCAGCAGUAGUGAAUCUUCGGCAAUGGCCGAAAGUCUGACCAAGCAACGCCGCGUGAGUGAAGAAGGUUUUCGGAUCGUAAAACUCUGUUGUUAGAGAAGCGGUAUCUGACCAGAAAGCCACGGCUAACUACGUGCCAGCAGCCGCGGUAAUAC
rnacentral:rRNA from 1 species